GAUGAACGCUGGCGGCGUGCCUAAUACAUGCAAGUCGAGCGAACAGACGAGGAGCUUGCUCCUCUGACGUUAGCGGCGGGCGGGUGAGUAACACGUGGAUAACCUACCUAUAAGACUGGGAUAACUUCGGGAAACCGGAGCUAAUACCGGAUAAUAUAUUGAACCGCAUGGUUCAAUAGUGACAGAAGGUUUUGCUGUCACUUAUAGAUGGAUCCGCGCCGCAUUAGCUAGUUGGUAAGGUAACGGCUUACCAAGGCGACGAUGCGUAGCCGACCUGAGAGGGAGAUCGGCCACACUGGAACUGAGACACGGUCCAGACUCCUACGGGAGGCAGCAGUAGGGAAUCUUCCGCAAUGGGCGAAAGCCUGACGGAGCAACGCCGCGUGAGUGAUGAAGGUCUUCGGAUCGUAAAACUCUGUUAUUAGGGAAGAACAAAUGUGUAAGUAACUAUGCACGUCUUGACGGUACCUAAUCAGAAAGCCACGGCUAACUACGUG
rnacentral:rRNA from 1 species